UAGGGAAUCUUCCGCAAUGGGCGAAAGCCUGACGGAGCAACGCCGCGUGAGUGAUGAAGGUCUUCGGAUCGUAAAACUCUGUUAUUAGGGAAGAACAAAUGUGUAAGUAACUAUGCACGUCUUGACGGUACCUAAUCAGAAAGCCACGGCUAACUACGUGCCAGCAGCCGCGGUAAUACGUAGGUGGCAAGCGUUAUCCGGAAUUAUUGGGCGUAAAGCGCGCGUAGGCGGUUUUUUAAGUCUGAUGUGAAAGCCCACGGCUCAACCGUGGAGGGUCAUUAGAACCUGGACAACUUGAGUGCAGAAGAGGAAAGUGGAAUUCCAUGUGUAGCGGUGAAAUGCGCAGCGAUAUGGAGGCACACCAGUGGCGAAGGCGACUUUCUUGUCUGUAACUGACGCUGAUGUGCGAAAGCGUGGGGUUCAAACAGG
rnacentral:rRNA from 1 species